rnacentral:lncRNA from 1 species
CUCCGACCAUCCACCCCCUGCAGGAAUCUCACCCAUUGGAAGAACUAUCAAAGAUCCAAAGGAACUCAAAAAGAAAAUGACAAGGAAUGUUUUUGCACGAAAUCAGCUCUUUGGCAAAGCUCUCCCACUAGAAGAGACAAAAUAAAGGAUGGAUACCUAGUUAACAGCAGUCCUUUAUAUAGAGGAAUACCCAACGACCUGAAUGAAAGCAACCAGAUCGAGACCACACCGGAUGAUGACACGUGGUAGCAACUGGACCUGUCAUCGAUCCGACGAUUCGAUGCACCUAUACCAGAUUAAACCACGUCACCUCCAUCCACAUGCCGACCCA